rnacentral:rRNA from 1 species
UACGGAGGAUCCAAGCGUUAUCCGGAUUUAUUGGGUUUAAAGGGUGCGUAGGCGGCCUAUUAAGUCAGUGGUGAAAGCCUGGAGCUUAACUCCAGAACUGCCAUUGAUACUGAUGGGCUUGAGUACAGUUGAGGUUGGCGGAAUUGACGGUGUAGCGGUGAAAUGCUUAGAUAUCGUCAAGAACACCGAUAGCGAAGGCAGCUUACUAGGCUGUAAACUGACGCUGAGGCACGAAAGUGUGGGGAUCAAACAGG